UACGUAGGGACCGAGCGUUGUCCGGAAUCAUUGGGCGUAAAGAGCGUGUAGGCGGCCACUUAAGUCCUGCGUGAAAUCUUGCGGCUCAACCGCAAGCGGUCGUGGGAAACUGGGUGGCUAGAGUGCGGGAGAGGGAAGUGGAACUCCGGGAGUAGCGGUGAAAUGCGUAGAGACCCGGAGGAACACCAGUGGCGAAGGCGGCUUCCUGGUCUGCGACUGACGCUGUGGCGCGAAAGCU
rnacentral:rRNA from 1 species